GCCCAGACUCCUACGGGAGGCAGCAGUGAGGGAUAUUGGGCAAUGGGGGAAACCCUGACCCAGCGACGCCGCGUGAGGGAAGACGGUCUUCGGAUUGUAAACCUCUGUCUUUGGGGACGAAAAAGGACGGUACCCAAGGAGGAAGCUCCGGCUAACUACGUGCCGGCAGCCGCGGUAAUACGUAGGGAGCGAGCGUUGUCCGGAAUUACUGGGUGUAAAGGGAGCGUAGGCGGGGAUGCAAGUUGGGUGUCAAAACUACCGGCUCAACCGAUAGUCGCACUCAAAACUGCAGCUCUUGAGUGAAGUAGAGGCAGGCGGAAUUCCUAGUGUAGCGGUGAAAUGCGUAGAUAUUAGGAGGAACACCAGUGGCGAAGGCGGCCUGCUGGGCUUUUACUGACGCUGAGGCUCGAAAGUGUGGGGGGCAAACAGGAUUAGAUACCCCGGUAC
rnacentral:rRNA from 1 species